rnacentral:lncRNA from 1 species
CAGGGUAUAACAAAUAUGUAAUUUGAUUACUUUUUUUCUUUGUUACAGAUUCUGUUGCUUUGGCAGUAGAAUGGAUCAGAGAGAACUAAUAAAUAUACAGGCAAAGGAGAUAAAAGUUCUCUGCUUUCAUACAAAUUGGGUAGAAAAUAUCAUUCAAUAGUCACAUUUGCAGAGGAAAAGAGAACAGAUGCAGAAGAGAUAUUUCUUAUCUUUGUUGCUCUGAAAGUUACAGUGAUAACAAUGCCAUUUAUACAUAUAUUUAUCCCAGUACUUACAACUGUGAUUCACUCUAACAUUCUAGCUGUUCAGGCAUGUGGGCAUUUGUUACAAUAAUGGAAGUCUAUUGCCACUCAGAUGUAAGCCACACAUUUCUUUUUUAUUUCUUUUCUGGCUAACAUCCCAAAUCCAUGCAGCAGGUGCUGUCUCGGGAAUGUUACCAUCUAAUAAAAGUACCUCAACAUAAAACAGAGCCAAUAAAAACUCUUUUGCAUACGCUUUUUUCUUCCUAACAGAUGGAAUUCCUAAUAAGACAAUGCCUACACUAUCUAAGAGGAUGAAAACAAACAAGCAGUUUAAAAAGGAAACACAGAUAAACUCUGAUGAAAGUGGAAACUUCUCAGAAGAGCCGUUGUAUCUGAGAGAUCUCCCCGGGCUUCACUAUAAACAUCAGGAAGGACCACCUGCUACACAGAAACUUAUGUUACAUCAAAGCAGCAAAGAUGUCUUGAUCCCAGUCAGAUGGCAGCAGAACUCCUAACUGAAGCAUGUUAUUUGAUCACUUUGAAAAAUUGAAAAAAAAAAAAAAAAAGAUAUGUUCAACAGACUAGACAUAGUAGACAUAGGAAAACUGAAGGAUUCUACGGAGAGCUGUAAAUAUUUUUCAUAAAAUGAAGUGAGACUAGAAUUAGACUUGCCUGUUGAUAUUCAUUUAUGUAUGUACUGCUCCCAGAAAUCUUUCAGCUAUAGAUUAUUGCUUCAUCAAACAUCAUAUGUGAAUUAACAAAAAGACACUCUCAGGCCAAUAGAAUAUGAGGCAAUUCACUACCACGACUUACCCUACUCCUUGCAGUAUGAAAAAAAAUAUAUGUCCUUAUCAAGAAAAAGAAAAUAAAAAGUGUUAAAACAAACA